AUUGAACGCUGGCGGCAUGCUUUACACAUGCAAGUCGAACGGCAGCGCGGGCUUCGGCCUGGCGGCGAGUGGCGAACGGGUGAGUAAUACAUCGGAACGUGCCCAGUAUUGGGGGAUAGCUCGGCGAAAGCCGGAUUAAUACCGCAUACGACCUGAGGGUGAAAGCGGGGGAUCUUCGGACCUCGCGCUAUUGGAGCGGCCGAUGGCAGAUUAGCUAGUUGGUGGGGUAAAGGCCUACCAAGGCGACGAUCUGUAGCUGGUCUGAGAGGACGACCAGCCACACUGGGACUGAGACACGGCCCAGACUCCUACGGGAGGCAGCAGUGGGGAAUUUUGGACAAUGGGCGAAAGCCUGAUCCAGCAAUGCCGCGUGUGUGAUGAAGGCCUUCGGGUUGUAAAGCACUUUUGGCGGGAACGAAAAGGACUGUGCCAAUACCACGGUUCGAUGACGGUACCCGCAGAAUAAGCACCGGCUAACUACGUG
rnacentral:rRNA from 1 species